UCAGAUUAAGUAAUUGAGAUUAAGGAUAUCUCAUUCUAGAGUUUUCAGCUCUGUUUCUUUAAAUAUGUAACAAGAAAUUAACUGGUAUGAAACUAGUCUAAGUUUAUACCAUAUGUAAUGAUGGAAUGGAUUCAUGUCUCCCACAAUACAGAUGGUUACUGUCCGGAUGUAGGUGUUCUAAUCCAGGCAUUUCUUGGUGCUGGAUAUUAUACUGUUGGAUUUGAUCUAAACAAAGCUAGCCUGACUAAUGAAAAAUCUUGGAACAAUAUAUUGUGGGUUCAUAAAGAAGCAGCGAGACAGUUCUGAUGCUUUAAAGGGCCCAGACUCACUCAUCUUUAGAGGACUUGGAAAAUAUUGUAUCUAGUAUAUUUUUGCUAAUAUUGUUUUGGUUUUGUUUUUAUUUAAAUAAAUUACAUAAGUUCUAAA